GAUGAACGCUGGCGGCGUGCCUAAUACAUGCAAGUCGAGCGAACGGACGAGAAGCUUGCUUUUCUGAUGUUAGCGGCGGACGGGUGAGUAACACGUGGAUAACCUACCUAUAAGACUGGGAUAACUUCGGGAAACCGGAGCUAAUACCGGAUAAUAUUUUGAACCGCAUGGUUCAUAAGUGAAAGACGGUCUUGCUGUCACUUAUAGAUGGAUCCGCGCUGCAUUAGCUAGUUGGUAAGGUAACGGCUUACCAAGGCAACGAUGCGUAGCCGACCUGAGAGGGUGAUCGGCCACACUGGAACUGAGACACGGUCCAGACUCCUACGGGAGGCAGCAGUAGGGAAUCUUCCGCAAUGGGCGAAAGCCUGACGGAGCAACGCCGCGUGAGUGAUGAAGGUCUUCGGAUCGUAAAACUCUGUUAUUAGGGAAGAACAUAUGUGUAAGUAACUGUGCACAUCUUGACGGUACCUAAUCAGAAAGCCACGGCUAACUACGUG
rnacentral:rRNA from 1 species